rnacentral:tRNA from 8 species
AUCGUACCGAGGGUUCGAAUCCCUCUCUUUCCG